AGGGGCACAGCGAAGUGGUUUCAACCCCUGGAAUGUCCCAAAUGAGCAAUUUGAGUGAGCUGGCCAAGUUGCAAAGAUUGCUAAGAAAGGAGAGGACUCUUGGCAUGUGGGAACAGCCCCCCCCCCCACAAUCCUGUAUUUUAAAAAGGGGGGGGCAUUCACUCCCUCCUCCAGAAGCGUUUGAGCAACUUUGCGGAGAACACGACCCACAUCGCGGCGACAUUAUCCGAUGACAACACCUGAUGGGUUUGGACUGGGUUUAAAAACCCAAACAGGGACCAACCUCCUAGAGGAACAGGAUGGGAGACCACGAAGAGAUCUCUCAGAUAUGGGUUAGAGUUAAAAAUCAGGAAAACAAAUAAAUAAAUAAACCCUAGGCUUAGCUUAGCUAAGGUAAAGAUAAAAGU